GAUGAAGAACGUAGUGAAAUGCGAUAAGUAAUGUGAAUUGCAGAAUUCAGUGAAUCAUCGAAUCUUUGAACGCACAUUGCGCCCGCCAGUAUUCUGGCGGGCAUGCCUGUCUGAGCGUCAUUUCAACCCUCAUGCCCCUAGGGCGUGGUGUUGGGGAUCGGCCAAAGCCCGCGAGGGACGGCCGGCCCCUAAAUCUAGUGGCGGACCCGUCGUGGCCUCCUCUGCGAAGUAGUGAUAUUCCGCAUCGGAGAGCGAUGAGCCCCUGCCGUUAAACCCCCAACUUUCCAAGGUUGACCUCAGAUCAGGUAGGAGUACCCGCUGAACUUAAGCAUAUCAAUAAGCGGAGGA
rnacentral:misc_RNA from 1 species